rnacentral:rRNA from 1 species
GACGAACGCUGGCGGCGUGCUUAACACAUGCAAGUCGAACGAAGUGGCGAACGGGUGAGUAACGCGUAAUCAACCUGCCCUUCAGAGGGGGACAACAGUUGGAAACGACUGCUAAUACCGCAUACUGAAGCAGGGGCUUGCGUCUGAUUAGCUAAUUGGAGGGGUAACGGCCCACCAAGGCGAUGAUCAGUAGCCGGUCUGGGAGGAUGAACGGGCACAUUGGGAAUGGGAAAAGGCCCAGAAUCCUACGGGGAGCAGCAGUGGGGAAUCUUCCGCAAUGGACGAAAGUCUGACGAAGCAACGCCGCGUGAGUGAUGACGGGCUUCGGGUUGGAAAGCUCUGUUAAUCGGGACGCGGUACCGGAAUAGAAAGCCACGGCUAACUACGUGCCAGCAGCCGCGGUAAUUC